UCUGAGUGAACUCCGGGAGUUGGUGAUGGACAGGGAGGUCUGGUGUGCUGCGAUUCGUGGGGUCGCAAAGGGUUGGACACGACUGAGUGAUUGAACCGAAUUGAACUGAAUGUCUUCAGGGUGUAGCUGUGUUUUAGCAGGAGUGAGGGUUUCAUUCCCUUUAAAAGCUGGGUAGGUCCACCUAUUGAAUGGAUGGACCACGAUUUGUUUAUCCCUUCAUACACAGAUGGACUUUUGGAGACUGUGAUAAGGCGGCUGUGAUCACCUAUUUAACAGCCUUUCAUGUGGACACAUGUUUUCAUUUCUCUUGGGAAUAAACCCGGAAGAGGAAUUGCUAGGUAACAUGAUAACUCUUAGGGCUUCCCUGGUGGCUCAGCUGGUAAAGAAUCGGCCUGCAAUGUGGGAGUUUUGGGUUCAAUCCCUGGGUCAGGAAGAUGGGAAUGGCUACCCACUCCAGUAUUUUUGCCUGGAAAAUUCCAUGGACAGAGGAGCCUGGCGGGCUAUAGUCCAUGGGGUCCAAGAGAGUUGAACACGACUGAGUGACUUAAUACUUUCAUAGCAACUCUUAGUGACUAAACAUGACAACCAUGGUAACUCUAUAUUUAAUUGAUGAACUGCCAGCCCUGAGAAUCCUUUAAUAUCCACGCCUGACCCAGUCACAGCCCUGAUCAAGGCCCUCUGACAGUGUCUGACCUCAUAGCCCAGGCCCUGCUGGCCCACCUCCUGCCCUCCACCCUCCACCCGCUGGCUUCCAUCCUGGACUCGGCCCCCAGGCUCCCGCCCACUGCAGGGGUUUGGCAAGCACCAGGUUCUCCACAUGGAGCUCUCCUGCCUCCCUCCUGCUUUUCUUCGGUCCUCCCAGAAUUCCUCCCAGAAACACAGGCAGGCUCCCAGAAGUCCUUUCCUACUUUGCUUCCAUGGCGUUUAUGCAAUUAGUUAAUUAGAAUCCACGUCUGGAGGUACCAGAAGGGCAAGUACUCUGUGUUUUAAAGUACAUAAUAGAUUGUGGUACUGGAUUACAAAACCUAAUACAAUUUUUUUUUUCAUGGAAAAGAAAAGCACACAAUAGAUGUUUCAAAUCAUUCGGUAGAAGAAGAAAUUCUUUGAGCAAAAGGCCAUCCAGACCUGUUUUAAUUUCUAAAUAGGAUUGGGAUGGGCUGAGCUCCCUUUUGCCUGCAUAACUUUCUACAGCCCUCGGCUCUUUUCUGGUAAGAGUAUUUUGGUUUCCUUUUGGGGUCUCUCUCCCCACUCUUAGUCUAGGGGAGGUUAGAAACCCAGAUUGGCCAGCCAGUCUGUCCUUGGCAGCUGAAGUUGGUUCACGGAGGCAAAUGGCUCAGGUGGGGGCAAUGAGAAGUCACUCAGGUCUGCUCUCGUUUUCUCCAUGGAGACGCUGAGCUGGCACAAUGUGGCCAGGAUUUCAGAAGAGACUGCCCAGGAAUGAAGCCAUGUGGAGGAAAGUCAGACUGAAACAGGAGGAGAGAUGGAUGACGCAUCCGGAUUAAGUCAUGCCUUAUGUCCAGGAAGAAAGGUGGAGAUUGAAUCAUGAAAUGCUGAGCUUGCUUCCCUGCCUGCGUGAAAUCCAUCACUUCCUUACCCGGAAUCAGGUGACCCACAGUUUUAGGAAAUUCACAAAGGGGCCAAAUUGGACGGGAGAAGCAACUGGAUGCAGGACCCGGCUUAUCUUGCAGAAAGAACGAGGGGACAUGCGCCAUAGAGACGUGAGUAGAUCUCAGCUGGACUUGAUUCAAACAAAACCAACUACUUAAUGACAUGCAUGUGGUAACCCAGGAAAUUUGAUGAUGGUAACAUGGGCCAUUUUAUGUACAAUGAAUUAUUAUUGCAGUUAUGUUAGAACUUUUAAAAAGACCGUUUUCAGAGACUUGUUAAGUAUUUAUCUAUAAAUGACAGGACAUCUGGGAUUUGCUUCCAAAUAAUCCAGUGGUGGGAA